UACAGAGGGUGCUAGCGUUGUUCGGAAUCAUUGGGCGUAAAGGGCGCGUAGGCGGCAAUUCAAGUCAGUUGUGAAAUCUCCGAGCUUAACUCGGAACGGUCAACUGAUACUGUUUUGCUAGAGUACAGAAGGGGCAAUCGGAAUUCUUGGUGUAGCGGUGAAAUGCGUAGAUAUCAAGAGGAACACCUGAGGUGAAGACGGGUUGCUGGGCUGAUACUGACGCUGAGGCGCGAAAGCGUGGGGAGCGAACAGG
rnacentral:rRNA from 1 species